rnacentral:rRNA from 1 species
ACGCGAAGAACCUUACCUGGUCUUGACAUCCACAGAACUUUCCAGAGAUGGAUUGGUGCCUUCGGGAACUGUGAGACAGGUGCUGCAUGGCUGUCGUCAGCUCGUGUUGUGAAAUGUUGGGUUAAGUCCCGCAACGAGCGCAACCCUUAUCCUUUGUUGCCAGCGAUUAGGUCGGGAACUCAAAGGAGACUGCCAGUGAUAAACUGGAGGAAGGUGGGGAUGACGUCAAGUCAUCAUGGCCCUUACGACCAGGGCUACACACGUGCUACAAUGGCGCAUACAAAGAGAAGCGACCUCGCGAGAGCAAGCGGACCUCAUAAAGUGCGUCGUAGUCCGGAUUGGAGUCUGCAACUCGACUCCAUGAAGUCGGAAUCGCUAGUAAUCGUGGAUCAGAAUGCCACGGUGAAUACGUUCCCGGGCCUUGUACACACCGCCCGUCACACCAUGGGAGUGGGUUGCAAAAGAAGUAGGUAGCUUAACCUUCGGGAGGGCGCUUACCACUUUGUGAUUCAUGACUGGGGUGAAGUCGUAACAAGGUAACCGUAGGGGAACCUGCGGUUGGA